rnacentral:lncRNA from 1 species
UCAGGGAGGAAAACUGUGACAGGAGCUGGAGACAGAGCGUACAGAGCAGGAGGGAGGUACCGCAUCUGCAGGCGCAGUCCGAGGAGCGUGGAGGUCUGCCCAGGAAGGAAGAGCUGCGAGCAGCUCAGCAGAGAUGGAGGAGGAAGCAGCUCUGACGGAAACGAUGACCUGGAUUCUCAGAUCACUGAAUUGCAGGAAGACUUAGUGUCUAAUUGAGCAGCCAGCAAAAAAACCAGUAGAAAAGCAAAUUAGAGCCUGAUGAGAAACUGUAAGUCCUUCACCCAGCAGCAAAGCUUUCUGAAAGGAGAAAAAGGAUGGCACUGUCUGAGAAAACAGUUUUGAGGUCAAGCUGGACAACAGCAGAGUCUUUCCAAAGCACUGGGAAAGGAAUCUAGUUGAGCCAGCAGAAAGUUCCUCAGCUGAACAAUAUAUAGGAGCAGGUCCAGGAGGCAAAUCUCAACAUGUGGUGAAGGCAGUCACAUUGCCCUGGAAAUGCAAAGGACAAAGCAAUUGUCCCCUAACUCUGUGGACAUUCCUCCUAUGUUACCAAGGCUACGCAGCUUCAAAAGCAUCUGGAGAUACUAAAGCUGGAGCCCUGUGCAACCCCAAGGAAGAUGUCCAGAAGUACUGAGUGAUCCACUAGCUGUCAUCAAGAGACAGACAGACAUAGCGAGGUCUCCAGUGCAUCCUUGGGUACCCUCUCUGCUCUUCAGCUGCUGCUCCUGCAUGGCCCAGUCUCCUGAGGUCCUACACUGUCUCUGGCAGCUCUGUGCAGUUUCAGAAACCUUGGGGUGUCUAAAGUGGAGGGUAGGCAAACUGUGCCCUGCUUACCUGCAGCCAUACUGCCAGCCUGUCCUCCACUUUCUAUGAGCCCUUCCUUGUCGUCGUCUUUGGCUUCCAUCCGGGCCUUGGUAGCAUACCAAGAAGUUACAAAUGAUCUCCAAAACCUCAAGCAUUUCACUAGAGUCGUAGCUGUCUGCAAGAGUCCAUGCUAAAGCUGCAGCUACUGCAGCAGUGAAGCAAGUGGAGAGGGCUGAUGGUGCUGGGUCUGAGUGCUGCACAACUCGCUGUGACACUGGGAGAGCAUCUCCUCCCUCUGCUCCAG